rnacentral:rRNA from 1 species
AAGUUUUCUUUAUUGGGGUUGCGGACAUAUCAUAACGAAGAGGUAUCGUAAUUGAAGAGGUUUGGAAAGACCCACCACAGAAGGUAAUAGUCCUGUAUGUUAAACGAGAAGACUUCAGAUAUGAUCCAGAGUACCACGGGACACGUGAAACCCUGUGGGAAGCAGGAGGGACCACCCUCCAAGGCUAAAUACUACCUAGUGACCGAUAGCGUAUAGUACCGUGAGGGAAAGGUGAAAAGAACCCCGGGAGGGGAGUGAAAUAGAACCUGAAACCCUGCACUUACAAGCUGUGGAAGCACAUUUCUUGUGUGACCGCGUACUUUUUGUAGAACGGGCCAACGAGUUACGUUAAGUAGCAAGGUUAAGCACUUAAGGUGCGGAGCCGUAGCGAAAGCGAGUUUUAACUGAGCGUUCAGUUACUUGACGUAGACCCGAAACCGGGCGACCUACCCAUGAGCAGGAUGAAGCGAAAGUAAAAUUUCGUGGAGGUCCGAACCCACGAGCGUUGAAAAGCUCGGGGAUGACUUGUGGGUAGCGGUGAAAUUCCAAUCGAGCCCGGAGAUAGCUGGUUCUCCCCGAAAUAGCUUUAGGGCUAGCCUCAAGGUGAGAGAUACGGAGGUAGAGCACUGAAUGUCCUAGGGGGUAUUGCACCUACCGAAGACUAUCAAACUCCGAAUGCCGUCAUCUUAUACUUGGGAGUCAGACUGUGGGUGAUAAGAUUCAUAGUCGAAAGGGCAACAGCCCAGAUCGUCAGCUAAGGUCCCUAAAUGUAAGUUAAGUGGUAAAGGAUGUGGGAUUGCACAGACAACCAGGAUGUUGGCUUAGAAGCAGCCACUCAUUCAAAGAGUGCGUAAUAGCUCACUGGUCGAGUGAUCCUGCGCCGAAGAUUUCCGGGGCUAAAACUUACUACCGAAGCUACGGCAUCAGUAAUGAUGGGUAGGGGAGCUUCCCAUACGGGUUGAAGCAUGACCGUAAGGACAUGUGGACAGUAUGGGAGUGAGAAUGUUGGCAUGAGUAGCGAGAUGUGGGUGAGAAUCCCACAGGCCGUAAACCCAAGGUUUCCAGGGGAAGGUUCGUCCGCCCUGGGUUAGUCGGGACCUAAGCUGAGGCCGAAAGGCGUAGGUGAUGGACAACAGGUUGAU